CAGAUGCCUGAAGAACAUGAACAAACCUGUCAUAUGAAGAUGUAGGAUCAGAAUGUUCACGAAAAAGAAAAAGCAAGUGAAAACUUUUACAGUCAGAAUGAGCUUGGCUUAUUUAGAGAAUAGGCGAUGAAAUAAACAGAGACUUGCAGCAAAGUAGGAGAGCAGCAAUUGAAGAACCGUGGUUACACCGCAAAGGAUAUCAAUGCUCACAGCAUCUCAGAGCGCUAGUCUACCCUGCCACCCUUAUGGAUAAUAUAUUUCUGGACUUUCAGGAACCGAGUCAGUACCCAGAACUACAGGACUGUCAAAUGCUUCUGAAGAGUCUCCUUUACUUCAUCCUUCAGUUGCAAUACAUCAUUUUUGUUCUUUUGCUUCUGUUAUUUUAACAUAGUCUACAGAUA